AGUAUUAUAUGCUUCUGUCAAAGAUUUAGCCAUUCAUGUCUAAGCACAAAGUCCAAGUAUGAUGAAGCUGCGAACGGCUCAUUACAACAGUUAUAAUCUUUUUGAUGAGUGAGGUCACAAGGAUAUCUUUGAGAAUGUCAAAGCUAAUACUUGACGAAUUGACUUUGUGUGAGUAUUGAGUGUAACAACUCGUAAUCACAUAAAGGGGACUGUGAGUAUUCACAGUCUGGGUAUCGCCAUCUCUUUGUGAAAAAGGAUGGAAAUAACAGAGAUAAUUGUCGAACGGGAGUUUAUACAAGUCAUCAUUAAGAAUAUCUGACCUAUCAAUUAGCUGUUGGUAAGGUAGUGGCUUACCAAGGUGAUAACGGGUAACGAGGAAUAAGGGUUCGACAUCGGAGAGGGAGCUUUAGAAAUGGCUACCACUUCUAAGGAAGGCAGCAGGCGCGAAAAUUACCCAAUCUUAACUUUUGAAGGAGGUAGUGACGACAAUUAACUCUGUCAUCAUCUUAUGGUGAUGAUUGUUGGAAUGACUACGAUCCAAACCAUCGUAGGAAAUCGAUUGGAGGGCAAGUCUGGUGCCAGCAGCCGCGGUAAUUCCAGCUCCAAUAGUGUAUUGUAAAAUUGUUGUGAUUAAAACGCUCGUAGUUGAACCAUAACAAGGGGGCUCAUUUCUGUGUCCCAUAUCAUGUACACCCUAUAGCUUACGCUAGAACGGUGUGUGUGGAUGGGCUCUGAAAAAUUUGAGUUUUCCAUUAAAAGAAAGGAAAUAAAAUUCCUUCCUUACUUUGCCAAAAUCAAGGCGCUUAAAGCAAAAACUUUUGUUUAUGAAUAACCAAGCAAGGUAUAAAAGCAAGACAAGUUACUGCUUAUCCGAUUUAGAGAUGGAGCUUGCUCUAUUCAAAGAAGAGGAUAGUAUCUUGUUUUAAACAAGAUUAAAAGAAAUGAUUAGGGUGAUCUAGAUAGGAACGGGAGAGGUGGAAAUCCAUGAUCGUUUCGAGAUAAGCGAGAGCGAAAGCAUUUCACUGAAUUCAUUUCAUUAAUCAAGAACGAAAGUCAGGGAAUCAAAGACGAUUAGAUACCGUCGUAGUCCUGACCAUAAACGAUGUCAACUAAGGAUUGGAUUCGAUCAAACUAGAGUUGUCCCUAAUCCCCCAUCUGGGGGCCUCUGGGACACAGGCUCUAAAUCUUCCCUUAUUCAGGACUUGAUGAGAAAUCAUUAAGUGAAUGGACUUCAGGGGGAGUAUGGUCACAAGGCUGAAACUUAAAGGAAUUGACGGAAGGGCACACCAGGAGUGGAGCCUGCGGCUUAAUUUGACUCAACACGGGAAAACUUACCAAGACCGAACGGUGUAAGGAAUGUCAGGUUACUGGAUCUUACAUGAUUCAUCGGGGAGUGGUGCAUGGCCGUUCUUAGUUCGUGGAGUGAUUUGUCUGGUUAAUUCCGAUAACGAACGAGACUUGAACUUGCUAAUUAGUUGAACAAAAAGUCACUUUCGAGUGUCUUUUGUUUAUUGCCUCAAUGGCUACACGUGUAAUAACGUGACUUCUUAGAGGGACAAAUCUUUAAUCCUUUAUGCCGUUUACGCUGAAGUCAAGUGGAGGUUUACCAAAACUUGACGCUUUGUAUACGGUGUGAAACAAAAAGAAGGAAGCAUCAAGCAAUAACAGGUCUGUGAUGCCCUUAGACAUCUUGGGCUGCACGCGUGCUACAAUGAAAGUACCAGAGAGUUCAAGUGUUCAUUACAAGCGCUUGAGUUUGAGUACGAUGGUGCAUGUAUUGGAUACGCUCACCUACUCCGAAAGGAGGUGGAAAGCUCUAAUGUCUUUCUUAAUUCUUGACUGGGAUGAAUGAUUGGAAUUAUUUGUUCUGAACAAGGAAUUCCUUGUAAAAGCAAGUCACUAGCUUGCGUUGAAUACGUCCCUGCCCUUUGUACACACCGCCCGUCGCUCCUACCGAUUGAAUAAAAGGGUGAAAUGUCGGGAUUUCUGUGGCUUGCCAUGGGAAAAACGAUAGUAAAUCUUUUUGUUUAGAGGAAGGAGAAGUCGUAACAAGGUUUCCGUAGGUGAACCUGCGGAAGGAU
rnacentral:rRNA from 1 species